UACGGGGGGAGCAAGCGUUGUUCGGAUUUACUGGGCGUAAAGGGCGCGUAGGCGGCCACCGCAAGUCGACUGUGAAAUCUCCGGGCUUAACUCGGAACGGUCAACUGAUACUGUCGGACUAGAGUGCAGAAGGGGCAACUGGAAUUCUCGGUGUAGCGGUGAAAUGCGUAGAUAUCGAGAGGAACACCUGCGGCGAAGGCGGGUUGCUGGGCUGACACUGACGCUGAGGCGCGAAAGCUAGGGGAGCGAACGGG
rnacentral:rRNA from 1 species